AGUGAACGCUGGCGGUAGGCCUAACACAUGCAAGUCGAACGGCAGCACAGUAAGAGCUUGCUCUUACGGGUGGCGAGUGGCGGACGGGUGAGGAAUACAUCGGAAUCUACUUUUUCGUGGGGGAUAACGUAGGGAAACUUACGCUAAUACCGCAUACGACCUACGGGUGAAAGCAGGGGAUCUUCGGACCUUGCGCGAUUGAAUGAGCCGAUGUCGGAUUAGCUAGUUGGCGGGGUAAAGGCCCACCAAGGCGACGGUCCGUAGCUGGUCUGAGAGGAUGAUCAGCCACACUGGAACUGAGACACGGUCCUGACUCCUACGGGAGGCAGCAGUGGGGAAUAUUGGACAAUGGGCGCAAGCCUGAUCCAGCCAUACCGCGUGGGUGAAGAAGGCCUUCGGGUUGUAAAGCCCUUUUGUUGGGAAAGAAAAGCAGCAGGUUAAUACCCCGCUGUUCUGACGGUACCCAAAGAAUAAGCACCGGCUAACUUCGUG
rnacentral:rRNA from 1 species